CCCAGCUUUUGUUUUAAUAGAAUCACCUGGGAAUGACUGUUUUGAACAGUAUGGCUUUGGCUAGUUCCCAACCUGGCUCUCCCCUUUCCACUCAGAAACAGAGACGCUGCUGCACGUGCAAGUGGCCUGGAGGCCAGGUGAGACGACAGUGGGCCUGAAUAGGGAGCAGAGUGGGGGAAGCUGUGGGCUAAGUCGUCCUUCAAGAAUGCACAAGGGAGCUCUGUGGGAGAGGGCCAGCCCACAGGAACCCACUCCACCCCAGUGGCCAUCACAAUGGAAUUCAGGUCUGCGUCACAAUGCCACUGGCAGUGGGAGGCUGGUCUCUUUGUUUGGAGACCUAGUUACAGGAACUCUGCGUCAGAGGUCCCUGUUUCCUGGGGUAUGGGAAGGGGCCCAGCUGCUGAGCGGCCUCAAAAUGGAGAACUGUAGGAAGAGCAGGUGUGAGGUUGGGCAGUCCCACUCAGCCCCCGGACCUAGCGGCUGCAGGGCCCAGGUGACAGUCGGCAGGGAGCAGGGAUUCUCCGUCAACAGCUCCAUAUGGAACAGGGAUUCUCUCCCUUGGAGCAACUCUGGCACCUGGUCUGAAGGAAGCUACUUGCCCUCCACUGGCACUGACGCACCCACACUGGAUAAAUCUGAACCUCUGCCUACCCAGUGGCUGCAACUGCA
rnacentral:lncRNA from 1 species